AAGUUUAGUGUGUUUAGUUGACUUCACAACCCUAGCUAGCAGUCCCUCAGCAUUGUGUGCCACAAAGCAACUCCUUUUCCUGUUCCGUCGAGUGAAGAUGGGAUUUUGGGGGACGCGGGUGAUGGAGAUUGUGAAGAAGCAUGAUUCUGGAGGACUGGUUUGGAAGAGAAUCAAGCUCACCACCACCCGAAAAGCCAAUGCUAAGAAGCGUCUUCUUCGGGUUUGGCAGAAUGAAGCUGUCCUCAAAGCGUGUUCUGCCACUCCCAACGAACCUCAACCUACACCAGUGGCUACACCAGUGGCUAGUUAAGUUCAAGCCCACCCAUCUCAAUUUCAUUACUUUUCUUUUCCCUUUCCUUCAAAAAUAUUGUCACUACUUUUAGGGCUUCAUUUACAUAAUUAAAAAUCAUCUGGAGGAGGUUAUGCUUGCUUGCCUAGGCAUAUGCUCUUCAUUCUUAUUAUGAUUUUUUGUUUCUGGAGUAUCAGUACCAUUAAUUGCAUGCAUUUGUGUGUUUUCUUUUGCUUUUCAACAUUGAAAUAGUUGGUUUGUGUAAUUUAUUGAAAUAUAUGGAUGUACAUAUAUCCCUGUACAUAUAUCCCUUUAUUGCAAGACAA